AUGCUCCGGCUUGGGAAUCCAAAGUAUAUGUUCGAUUCUUGCGUCACGUUGGAAAAGCGCGGGGAGGAUCACGAGUGUUGGUUCCGCUCACUGGUGGCAACAAGAGACACGCGGAUGAGGAUGAGGAUUCCUGCUCCAGGGACGGCAGCAAGUCGAGGACGGGUUAGGUGGAUGGCGCAGCAGCGAAAGACGAACGAGCGUUCCAGCUGCUGCGGCGCAAAGGAUUUGAUGAUGGGGGGCAGCGAAAGGUGUAUGUUUUAGAGCGAGAGAAAGACGCAAAGACGUUGAGACCUGCUCGGCGUCGUCGUCGUCGUCGUCGUCGUCCCGUCGUCCUCGGGUGAAUGUAGGCGGGAGUGGUGGUCGUGGUGGUGGUCGUGGUUCUAUCGUUGGUUGGGAUGGCGUAAUGACGAUCGAUCCGGCGAACCCAGCGAAGAGUGGAAGGUUUCGAGGUCAGUCAAGUUAUAGUGAGGAAUAGCGUCGCUGGUUAUUAUCUAUUCAGUUGCUAUAAAAGUCGUUCCAGGAAAUGGAGAAUUGCCGGGGAAGAAUUCGAGUCGGAUGUGUAGGGACCACGGCAGUUGAUCAGUCGAGCCAACACGUCAAGUCGAGUCGAGUCGAGUCGAGUCGAGUGGAAAUGCCCCACAUGGGUAGGGCAUGCGGCAUGCGGACGACGAUCUUCUUAUUGUACUGUACUGUACAUGUAUUUGAUCAGAUCAUUCUCAAAUCAGCGAUGAGAUGAUCGGCGGCGGUGGGGGAUGGUGAGAUGGUCACAGGUCAGAUGGUAGCCGCCGAGGUUUGUUGGUUGCUUCGAGUAGUGCAGUAGGUACCUAGUCAACCUAUACAGUAGCAGCAGAGACUAUCGAAACCAUUCUUCAACCACAAACCAACUCACACCCAACCCCUACGACGGUCGACGUGUAUACUGUAUACUGUCUGGACAUCCCGAAAAUAGAUGCAGUGCGAGCGGCGUCGUGGACCUGGUAGGCGACCACUGACGACGGCGACUGACGACGACGACGCCGCUCGCAUCCACGAAUCAUCCCCAACUUCCUCCCCCGUACGCGCGCCAUCGCGCCCAUCGUCGAUAUAAAAAGCAUCCCGGCUGCUUCCGUCGCCCCUUCCAUACGCCAAUCACCAUCCCGACCAUCCGCAACCCUAUUUUUGGCUUUUGCACAACGGGGGAAGGUUUAGCCUCAGAGGGUCGUCAACCCAUCAGUCCCAUCACCUGCCCGAAUCAUCACCAUCUGCCGCCCAUACUCACUACUGUAACCACCACCGCAGGACACUUAUAAACGAUCUCGAAGGAACCUGCCUCUGAUUGCUAUCUGGCCGUGAAUUGUGAUCGGAUCAUCAUCUGGGGGGCGUCAAUGUAUAGCGAAACAGUAGCAGAAUUAAUGUACGCCCGUCCGACACACUCCGAUGAGAUCUAAGUUACGCUCCCCGCUCGUCCGAACGAAAUAGAAAAUAUACGAAAGGUGGGGUGGGUGAGGGGCGCGCACCAUCGACGAGACUAUUGGCAUAGAACCCCUCCAAGGCAAGGUACCACCAGCGGCUAUAAUAGUAGUGAACAACUUUUAUAGACUACAAUCUCCCGACUUUUAUCAGCUCCACACUAUAUGGACUACAGCAGUAGUAGUAGUAGUAGUAGUAGUAGUAGUAGUAGUAGGUAGAUUGUUGUCAUUCCUCACCUUAUUAGCUAGUACUGUCUACGAUGCGGUGCGUAUGAUCGAUGUCAAGCGGUACCUAGCAUGUGGUGGGGGAUUUCUACCCUCUUCGUAGAUUUAUAAACCGUCGUCGUCGGCGCGAAGAAAGCCGAAGAGCAAAGAUGGGGAUGAGACUCGCGUUUUGCCCCCGAAGCCCUAACCCGAUCACUUUUCUAAGAAAAGGGUUUGCACCCGUCUGGUACAGUACGUACUGUUCACAUAGAGUGGUUACCCGGGGGGCGCCGCUGAUGCAUCCACUCAUCUGGUUGCUCGCGAUGGUUCCCACGUCCGGUAGUAGUCCAGCUUCCACAAGAUCAAAUCUUAGCACGCGAACCAGAAAAGGCGAAAAACAAAAAGGGGGGAAGAGAGAGAGAGUAGAGUAUCUACUGAGAAUGAUGCUGGGCAAAGGGCAGGAGGAGAACGACCGACGGCAGGAUAUACAGUCUGGUGAUCCAUUCCCAGAGGUAGUGACGUUUUGA
rnacentral:sRNA from 1 species